rnacentral:rRNA from 1 species
AAUGAACGCUGGCGGCGUGCUUAACACAUGCAAGUCGAACGGAUGUGAAUCGCUUCGGUGGUGCACAUAAGUGGCAGACGGGUGAGUAACGCGUGGGCAACCUACCUUCGAGGCGGGGGAUACCAUUCCGAAAGGGGUGUUAAUACCGCAUAAAACGAUGAGUACCUUGGGACUCAUGGUCAAAGCUGGGGACUCCGGAAACGGGGCCUGGCACUUGAAGAGGGGCUCGCGUCAGAUUAGCUUGUUGGUGGGGUAAUGGCCUACCAAGGCAUCGAUCUGUAGCCGGCCUGGGAGGGUGAUCGGCCACACUGGAACUGAGACACGGUCCAG